ensembl:snRNA U6 U6 spliceosomal RNA
GUGCUUGCUUUGGCAGCACAUAUACUAAAAUUGUAAUGAUACAGAGAAGAUUAGCAUGGCCCCCUGUAUAAGGAUGACACGCAAAUUUGUAAAGCACUCCAUAUUUUG